rnacentral:misc_RNA from 1 species
GAUGAAGAACGCAGUGAAAUGCGAUACGUAAUGUGAAUUGCAGAAUUCAGUGAAUCAUCGAAUCUUUGAACGCACAUUGCGCCCAUUAGUAUUCUAGUGGGCAUGCCUGUUCGAGCGUCAUUUCAACCCUUAAGCCUCUGUUGCUUAGCGUUGGGAGCCUACCUACCCGGUAGAUCCUCAAAGUUAGCUGGCAGGGUCGAGGUUCGCCCUAAGCGUAGUAGUUCUUUCUCGCUUCUGCGGCUGCCUAGGCCAUCGCCACAAGCCUUUUAAACUUCAAUGGUUGACCUCGGAUCAGGUAGGAAUACCCGCUGAACUUAAGCAUAUCAAUAAGCGGAGGA